rnacentral:rRNA from 1 species
CAGUAGCCACGGGAAUACGAAGGGGGCUAGCGUUGUUCGGAAUCACUGGGCGUAAAGCGCACGUAGGCGGACCUUUAAGUCAGGGGUGAAAGCCUGGAGCUCAACUCCAGAACUGCCUUUGAUACUGGAGGUCUCGAGUGUGGAAGAGGUUGGUGGAACUGCGAGUGUAGAGGUGAAAUUCGUAGAUAUUCGCAAGAACACCAGUGGCGAAGGCGGCCAACUGGUCCAUUACUGACGCUGAGGUGCGAAAGCGUGGGGAGCGAACAGGAUUAGAUACCCCAGUAGUCCCUGUCUCUUAUAC